rnacentral:rRNA from 1 species
GAUUGAAGGGGGCUGCUCCUAGUACGAGAGGACCGGAGUGGACGAACCUCUGGUGUUCGGGUUGUCAUGCCAAUGGCAUUGCCCGGUAGCUAAGUUCGGAAUCGAUAACCGCUGAAAGCAUCUAAGCGGGAAGCGAGCCUUGAGAUGAGUCUUCCCUGGCGCUUUAAGCGUCCUAAAGGGUUGUUCAAGACUAGAACGUUGAUAGGCAGGGUGUGUAAGCGCUGUGAGGCGUUGAGCUAACCUGUACUAAUUGCCCGUGAGGCUUAACCAU